rnacentral:rRNA from 1 species
AUACGUAGGGGGCGAGCGUUGUCCGGAAUGAUUGGGCGUAAAGGGCGCGUAGGCGGCCCGGUAAGUCUGGAGUGAAAGUCCUGUUUUUAAGAUGGGAAUUGCUUUGGAUACUGUCGGGCUUGAGUGCAGGAGAGGUAAGUGGAAUUCCCAGUGUAGCGGUGAAAUGCGUAGAGAUUGGGAGGAACACCAGUGGCGAAGGCGACUUACUGGACUAUAACUGAAGCUGAGGCGCGAAAGUGUGGGGAGCAAACAGGAUUAGAUGCCCUGGUACUCCACACUGUAAACGAUGAAUGCUAGUUGUAGUGGGUAUCGACCCCUUCUGUGCCGCAGUCAACACAAUAAGCAUUCCGCCUGGGGAGUACGGCCGCAAGGUUGAAACUUAAAGGAAUUGCCGGGG